rnacentral:hammerhead_ribozyme from 1 species
AUCCAGCUAACGAGUCCCAAAUAGGACGAAACGCGAAUACUGGAU